UAUAUAUUAAUUAUGCCUUUGUCUUGUAUUAUUUAUAUGCGAUUUGAAGUGUCUCGGUGAGGAGUGGAGAUCCAUGGCGAAACCGUAGCUUUCUUGCUGAUAAAGUCAUUUCGUUUUAGUCGGACUCGCUUCUGGUUCUUAGUCAUUUGCUAAGGUGAGUGUCUAUUCCGUAAAUCCCGUACCAGUGUAGAAUUGUCUCUAUCGUAGUUUAGAUUUUGAAUCAUGAUCCGUCUGUUUGACUCUUGAUUGUUAGUUAGUUGUUCAUUGUAAAUUGGAACUAGGGGUCUAGAGGAUUCAACCGUUGAUUUGAUUGUGUGAUGUUAAGAGAUGCGAUAUAUAUAUGUAUGUAUACAUAGUUAUGAGUAGGGACUAUGUGAGUGGGCGGGGGUCCAGAGAUGUCUGGACUAGCGACGCAGCUUUGGUGGGCGGGGGCUCAGAGACGUCUGGGCUAGCGACGCAAAUUGUGUGGGGCGUGGGUGCAAAGACGUUUGCAUUCGACGCAGCUUUGGAGGGCGGAGGUACAGAGACAGACAGUACUAGCGACGCAGCGUAUGUAUAUAUAUAUCCGUAUGAGGAGAUGCGGGGUGUAUGGACUAGCUAUAUGCUAUCAUCACAUUGCUUGUGUUGUGUGAUGCUUUAGGCAUCUUGUUUGUUCAUUUUAGAGCUAAACUUCCAUAGUGGGAGUUCUAUUUACUCAAGUCAGUGGUUUGCGUGUUUAGCAUCCCAUACCUCACGGAGUAACUCUCCUGUUGCUCACCCCUCUUCUUCCCCUUGCAGGUGCGCUUGCCGAGUGUUGGAUAUCUGGACGGUUUGGUGUCUUGGGAAUAAUUUAUUUAUUUCGGUUUUGAUUACUAAUUUAUACGAAUUUUAGAUUCGAUUUAUUUUGAUAUACUUUUAUAAUUCAAUUUAAAAAUGUACUUCUUUGGAAAUU
rnacentral:lncRNA from 1 species